UACGUAGGGUGCGAGCGUUGUCCGGAAUUAUUGGGCGUAAAGAGCUUGCAGGCGGUUUGUCGCGUCUGCUGUGAAAAUCCGGGGCUCAACCCCGGACUUGCAGUGGGUACGGGCAGACUAGAGUGUGGUAGGGGAGACUGGAAUUCCUGGUGUAGCGGUGAAAUGCGCAGAUAUCAGGAGGAACACCGAUGGCGAAGGCAGGUCUCUGGGCAUUAACUGACGCUGAGGAGCGAAAGCAUGGGGAGCGAACAGG
rnacentral:rRNA from 1 species